AAAAAUAAAAUAGAAUAGCUAAAUCUACAUUUUUAAAGAGUUGAAAUAACGUGCCCCCAACAUGUCCGUGUCUUACAUUUAUGAAAAUCAUGUGUCGGCAUGUCCACGUUCGUGCAACAUAUCCUAAAAUAGGCCCUUGUUUGAUCCCUAUUUUGGGGAAAAUAAUGCAUUUUGAAUAAUAAAUUGAUGGAAAAUGUGUGGUUAAAAAUUAAAGAAAAAUUUUGGAUUUACGUGUAAUAUUAUUUUAUUGAAGAAUAUAUAAUUGAAAAUGAGUUUUGAAAAAAUAAAUUUUCAGAAGAAUGGAAAUCAAACAGUGGCUAGAUCUCAGCAUAAGCAAUAAAUUUUCUGAAUCAAUCACUACUGGCAAUCUGGGAAGUGUUAAUCAGUCAUUUCUAAAUUGAUCUUUUUAUUCCACACACACAUAUUUCUGAGCAUAAAACUUGAAAAAUCUGAUUCUCCAUGAAAUGUCCAGAGAGGCAAGAGCAAUUUUAUUAGCUCUUCUAUCACUAUUUGUAGUUGCAAAUUUUCAGUUCUCCCUCCCGUCAUAUAACAUAUAGCCAACGCAGUGUUGACCUCUAAUCAAAUUUAGCAAGACCAACUGAUGUUGCUUAUCCUCAUAUUUGCAAAAGGAAAAAGCAAAUUUUACAUGCUACAACUUGGUUGAAAAUAUUCUCUUUUCUUCUUCAUCUGGGGACAUGAUAUAUGAAUUGUGUUCAUGUUUUCUCAAGGGUACAGUAGAAAUGACAAGAAUUGAAGGAUACGAAGCAUGGGCACACCAACACAUCAAUCAAAUUAGUAUUAUUCCGUAUAUUAUAGUGUUUUUCAGUACACUUAAUAUAAUACUCAUUUAGUAGGGUUCAGACAAUCUCUUUUUCUCAUCCACUCUCUUCUUUUCCUAUAAGAAUCAAAUAAAAUGGUCCAGUCUCAUCCGUCGACUAUUUUUUUGAAAAGGACAAAGAAAAAACUUGCCCUCCAACUCUAGUCUCGCCACGUAAUGUCUUCUCCUUUAUUCUCACGGAUGAUGAGAGAAAUCAGAUCUCUCUCCUUUCAGAAUGUAUUCAAGAUUUUUCCAACAUACUGUAUCAGCUCGUCAAGAAUAAAUAUUCACCCCUAACUUCCAUUUGGUCUUUUUCAUUUUUAAUGGCCAUUUCAAUUUUUUUAAUAAUUUAGCCCUGAUUUUUUCUUAUAUAGUCAGAAAAUAGUGCUCAUUGCCUUGGCAAAUUGUUUUCGCAAAAGGAAAAGAGCAGCAUGCCCUAUGGUAUGCUGGACAAGGUCUACAUAGCAUCUAUAGUGUGCUGGUGCGACCUUGGUUUAAAGAAAGCUUACAUGUGGUGGACAAGUCCAUGUGCAGAUCAUGCCGACUUAGGGAGCUGACGUGGAAAGGAAUCAGAUAGAGGGGCAGAUUAGCUAACACUCCACUCCAUCAACCAGCCAAAAAAAACAGACAAGGUGUGGUAAGUCAAAACAGUUCAUGCCUCCAUAGCAAUUACAAAGGAGUCCAUCAGGUGGCCAUGGUCCACCUGGCACCUGGACAAGACUUGACAUUGUUUAGAUCUUAUUUUCUAGGAUGAUCAGACAGACAUUCUCAACCAUCAGACACUGCUUGGAAUCAUAUGUCCAACCAAAAUCUCAUCCUGAACUACCUACAAAGGGACACCACCUGCAACAGACUCCCACCAUCAACUCAAUCUCAUUAAUUCAUUCUACAAUGCGGGAGAGCAACCUCCAAUGAAGUCUUAACCGUGUGGGAAUAGUGAGAUAAGGGGAGUUGUCCAUCAAUAGUCAUGCAUUAUAGAGUUGUUAAAUAAUCGUGCUCCAUGAUAGUGGAAACAACCCCUUUAUGCAAGCUAUGUCAACCCAUAACAGAUGAUCAAACCCAAUUAGGCGAAAGGUUGUGGGCUCAAUUAAAAUGUCAGCAGUCAUUUUGGCAGGCAGAUUAAACAAAGCAGGGAGAAAGAGAGCAGAAAAUCUAGAGACACAGGCAGCUCAGAGGUUUCUCUGGAAUCUGGCUCAAAUUUGACCUAUGUUGAGGACUCAAUGCACUAAACUUUGGACAGACACAAUGGAAUGUGGAAUUUUUGCAGCAGAAUUUUUGUUUGAUGUUUCCCAGAACUGUUUUUGUUGAGUUGUCUCCGGUUUUCUUUUUGUUGGUUCCACCAUUGUAUUUUCAGAAUUGUUCUCAAUAAUAGUAGUGGAAUCCAGCAUGGACUACAGGUAAUGUAGUGAGGUCAGAGGUGGCCUUUCUUGAUGGGAAGUUCUCGAGGUUUUCCUAUAUCACUAGCGUUCUCUGUGUGUGCUAC
rnacentral:lncRNA from 1 species